rnacentral:rRNA from 1 species
UACGAAGGGGGCUAGCGUUGUUCGGAAUUACUGGGCGUAAAGCGCACGUAGGCGGAUUGUUAAGUCGGGGGUGAAAUCCUGAGGCUCAACCUCAGAACUGCCUUCGAUACUGGCAAUCUCGAGUCCGGAAGAGGUUGGUGGAACAGCUAGUGUAGAGGUGAAAUUCGUAGAUAUUGGGAAGAACACCAGUGGCGAAGGCGGCUAACUGGUCCAGAUCUGACGCUGAGGUGCGAAAGCCAGGGGAGCAAACGGG